GAUGAACGCUGGCGGCGUGCCUAACACAUGCAAGUCGAACGAACUCUUCGGAGUGAGUGGCGGACGGGUGAGUAACGCGUGAGAAUCUGCCUGUGGGUCGGGGACAACCACUGGAAACGGUGGCUAAUACCGGAUGAGCUGAAAGGUAAAAGAUUUAUUGCCCACAGAUGAGCUCGCGUCUGAUUAGCUAGUUGGUAAGGUAAAAGCGUACCAAGGCGACGAUCAGUAGCUGGUCUGAGAGGAUGAUCAGCCACACUGGGACUGAAACACGGCCCAGACUCCUACGGGAGGCAGCAGUGGGAAUAUUGCGCAAUGGGGGAAACCUGACGCAGCGACGCCUCGUGCGGGAA
rnacentral:rRNA from 1 species